ACUUCAUCUUUAUAUGUUUCAUUCCCCCCAAUUCAUUCUCCCAAAUUGUAGCCUCCCUCCCACGGUCCCACCUCACCUCCGAUCUACCGCCCGUCCCACCUGCGUCCACCUUCGAUCCAUCGCAGCCGCUCCACUUCUGUCCCACCCUUUUUGACCGACAACCCCAAUUGCAGCCACCACCACCGCUCGCAACCACUACAACCACUCGCAUCCACCACCGUCGUUCGUCACCACCACCAUGCAUUUCAACAUCUUCUGAAUGGAGAUGCACCAAGCAAAUCAAGUGCCUCGAGAAUGGUCUCGAGUCACGGAUCACCUUGUCAUAAAAGUUCCUCGUCAUAAACACAAGCCAAUGACACCACGAAGACUUCAGAUUAUCGUCCACAAGUACUUGAAGUCGACCCAUUUGUACAAAUCCAACCUCCGGGAUAUGUAGUGCAACCUCAAGGCAAUUAUAUGAGUUUGGCAGUUCUUUGAGUCGCCCAAUUCUAGUGCUUUUUUCAAUCCACAAAAAAUCAUUGGAUCACGGUGUAAAACACUUAUUGAAGACAUUAAAAAAACGUAAAAGAAAUACGUGAGCUUCAUUCUAAAAAAGUGUUCUAUCUUGCACCAUACUUAGCCGGUAAACAUUGGUUGCUUAUAAUUGUUUACCCGGGCUUCAAAUUUGGCUAUAUUGUUGAUUCUAUAAAUGAAGGGAAGACCCAUAAAAAUUACAUGCUCGUCAAGAUCAUUGAAGAAGUUUUUAAGAUUAAUUUUAAGUGGCACAUGUCACAGUGCAAACAACAGAAAGGCAAUUAGGAAUAUGGGUAUAUGGUAAUCAAACAUAUGAAGAGUUUAUCGACUCUAUACAAUAUGAUUUGGUUAACCGACUUUGGAAUGAAGAAGGGUAUUUUGAAGAAUCUUAAAUUGAGAAUUUAGUGGUAGAUUUAAUGUCGGGAUUUAUUAAAAAGAUGUUUUGAUCUUGUAAGCAUUAGUUUGUGUUUCAUACUUUUGUAAUUCCGUAUACUUGAACGGGUUGUUGGGUUGUUUAAUACUAGUUAACUUUUGUCGUGA